GAGGGUGUAGCUCAGUGGUAAAGUGCAUGCCUAGCAGGCAUGAGGUCCUGGGUUCAAUCCCCAGCUCCUCCU
rnacentral:tRNA from 1 species